CCUACGUGGAGCAGCAGUGGGGAAUAUUGCACAAUGGGCGAAAGCCUGAUGCAGCAACGCCGCGUGAGCGAUGAAGGCCUUCGGGUCGUAAAGCUCUGUCCUCAAGGAAGAUAAUGACGGUACUUGAGGAGGAAGCCCCGGCUAACUACGUGCCAGCAGCCGCGGUAAUACGUAGGGGGCUAGCGUUAUCCGGAGUUACUGGGCGUAAAGGGUGCGUAGGUGGUUUCUUAAGUCAGAGGUGAAAGGCUACGGCUCAACCGUAGUAAGCCAUUGAAACUGGGGAAGUUGAGUGCAGGAGAGGAGGGUGGAAUUCCCGGUGUAGGAGUGAAAUGCGUAGAUAUCUGGAGGAACAUCAGUGGCGAAGGCGACUAUCUGGCACAUAACUGACGCUGAGGAGCGAAAGCGUGGGUAGCAAACAGGAUUAGAUACCCCAGUAGUC
rnacentral:rRNA from 1 species